rnacentral:sRNA from 1 species
UUGCCAUGAUUUCACCUCUGCAUCAGGUGGGAAUGUGGAAGUGUCGGCCGGCGUUGCAUCGUCGGCCGACACGCCU